UAGAAAUGCAGCACUGGCACGGGUACGGAUCCGACGCCUCUCGUAGGAUACUUAGGCUCUCCGUACCCUACUCCUACUCAAAACGUCCCCGACGUACAGAGCGGUAACAUGUCUUUCCGCAUAUCUGAGCUUGGGUAUACGGGGAAACCCAACCCCUUGGGAGGAUGGAAGACAUGGCUAAUUUGAGAGGA
rnacentral:ribozyme from 1 species